CGCGUAGGCGGUUUGUUAAGUCGGAUGUGAAAGCCCCGGGCUCGACCUGGGAAUUGCACCCGAUACUGGCCGACUGGAGUGCGAGAGAGGGAGGUAGAAUUCCACGUGUAGCGGUGAAAUGCGUAGAUAUGUGGAGGAAUACCGGUGGCGAAGGCGGCCUCCUGGCUCGACACUGACGCUGAGGUGCGAAAGCGUGGGGAGCAAACA
rnacentral:rRNA from 1 species